GGCUCCGCGAGCCGAGGGCGCGUCCCGCCCGUGCCCGGAGCCGCCCCCGCUGCGGGGCUCAUCGCCGGGUCCCCGCUGGAGGAACCCGCGCCGGGAGCGGCUCGGCCGCGGGGCAGCGCGCACGGCGGGGAAGCGACGGGGAACAUCCUCCUCAUCCUGCCGCUGCACAGGAACCGUGCGCUUCGUGCUGGCUGAGGCUUGCUUGCUGAAGGGCAUGUACUUCAUGUUAUCGAUGAAAGCAAACGUUGCCUUCUCGAGGUUUUUAUGAAAACAGGUCGCCAGGCAAAAAAAAUGAUGCAGAAUGUGCAGCUGGCUCCUGAGAGUAAUGAAGAUGAUCUCUAUUCUGGCUUCAAUGAUUAUAAUCCCAUGUUUGACACAGAGGAUUUAGAAAAUGAUGUGGCUUUUCAACAGGCAGCAAAAACAAGUCAUGGAAGAAGACCCCCUGUGACUGCCAAAAUUCCUGGUACAUCAAGUCCAAGACCUCUAGCUACUGGAUUUGGGUCAAAAACAACUUUAACUUCAUCCAUGGGAAGACCUAUGACAGGAACUAUACAGGAUGGAGUUUCUCGACCAAUGACAGCAGUGCAAGCUGCAGGUUACACUAAAGCAGCUGUGAGAGGUUCUUCAUUUGACCCUCUUGGCCAAGCAAGAGGUCCUGCUUCACCUCUGGAAAAGAAAACUUCAGACAGUUUAGAAGAGAAGAUGAGGCAGUUGGAAAAAAAAGUGAAUGAACUGGUUGAAGAAAGCUGUGUUGCCAAUAGCUGUGGAGACUUGAAAUUGGCUCUGGAGAAAGCAAAGGAAGCUGGAAGACAGGAAAGAGAAUUGUUGAGGCAGCGUGAACAAAUUGCUCCUCCAGAAAGUAUCAACUUAGACCUCACUUACACAGUUCUCCUCAAUCUGGCCGGUCAGUAUGUUGCUAACGAAAUGUAUGCUGAAGCACUGACUACUUACCAAGUUAUAGUGAAGAAUAAGAUGUUCAGCAAUGGAGGUAUACUGAAGGUAAAUAUGGGAAAUAUAUAUUUAAAACAACGGAACUAUUCCAAAGCUAUCAAAUUCUACCGUAUGGCUCUAGACCAGAUCACUAGUUCCCACAAACAGAUGAGGAUAAAAAUAAUGGAAAAUAUUGGAGUUGCAUUUAUUAAAACAGGCCAAUACGUUGAUGCCAUUUCUUCAUUUGAAGAAAUAAUGAACAUAUCCCCAAACCUGAAGGCAGGCUUCAACCUGAUCCUGUGUUACUUUGCUAUUGGAAAUGGUGAGCAAAUGAAGAAAGCCUUCAAAAACCUCAUCGAAGUUCCCUUGGAAGUGGAUUAUGAAGACAAAUACAUUUCAUUAAAUGAUGAUCUACAUACGAAUCUACUGAUUGAAGCCAUUAAAAAUGACAGUUUAAGUCAAAUAGAACGUGAGAGGAAGUCCUUGGCAGAGGAAUACAUCAUGACAGCUGCUAAACUCAUUGCACCAGCAAUUGAGACAUCUUUUGCAGUAGGCUAUGACUGGUGUGUUGAUGCAGUGAAAGCUUCCCACUAUGUAGAAUUAGCCAAUGAUCUGGAAAUAAAUAAAGCCACUACUUACUUGAGGCAACAGAAUUUUAACCAGGCACUGGAGACUUUGAAAAUGUUUGAAAAAAAGGAUAGCAGAGUAAAGAGUGCAGCUGCAACAAACCUUUCAUUCCUUUAUUAUUUGGGGAAUGAAUUGGAACAAGCAACUAACUAUGCAGAUUUAGCAGUAAAUUCUGAUAGGUACAAUCCAGCAGCUCUGACUAACAAAGGAAAUACUGUUUUUGCAAAUGGAGACUGUGAAAAAGCAGCUGAAUUUUAUAAGGAAGCUCUCAGGAAUGAUUCCUUAUGUACUGAAGCACUUUAUAAUCUUGGUUUAGCUUACAAGAAGUUAAACAGGAUAGAUGAAGCUUUGGAUUGUUUUCUGAAACUCCAUGCAAUCCUUCCAAAUAGUGCCCAAGUCCUUUACCAGCUAGCAAGCAUAUACCAAAUCAUGGAAGAUCCCAAUCAAGCCAUAGAGUGGCUGCUGCAGUUGAUCAGUGUAGUACCAACUGAUCCACAUGUACUUGCAAAGCUAGGGAAUUUAUAUGAUACUGAAGGUGAUAAAUCCCAGGCUUUUCAUUAUUACUGUGAGUCGUACCGGUAUUUCCCUUCCAACAUUGAGGUCAUUGAAUGGCUUGGAGCGUAUUACAUUGACACCCAGUUCUGUGAAAAAGCCAUUGAGUACUUUGAAAGGGCAGCACUUAUCCUGCCAACACAAGUGAAGUGGCAGCUGAUGGUUGCCAGUUGCUACAGAAGAAGUGGAGAUGUUUGGUUUGUUUGCAGGCAACUACCAGAAAGCUCUGGAGAAAUACAAAGUCAUUCACAGAAAAUUCCCAGAGAAUGUUGAAUGCCUCCGGUUUUUAGUUCGUCUCUGCACAGACAUGGGGCUGAAAGAAGUCCAGGAAUAUAUAACAAAGCUCAAGAAAGCAGAAAAAUUAAAAGAAAUCAGAGAGCAGCGCAUUAAAUCUGGCAGAGAGGGCAGUGCACGGAGCCGCAAAGAGGGAACUAGUGAUAGUGGUGGUACCAAAGGGGAAAGACUGAGUGCCAAACUAAAAGCUCUGCCUGGAACAAGUGAACCCUAUGAAAGUAGCAGCAGUAAAGAAAUAGAUGCCUCCUACGCAGAUCCACUUGGCCCACAACCAGAAAGACCAAAAACAGCAGCAAGAAAAAGAAUGGAGGAAGAUGAUUUUGCUGAUGAAGAACUAGGAGAGGAUCUGCUUCCAGAAUAGCAUAUGGACCACUCAUCUUUUUUAUAAUCCUUUUAAAAGUUUUAGCUGAAAAACUUUUCAUUCAUAAUGAUUUUGUAGUGGAUUUUUAUAAACUAUUUGUGAAAUACUUUGAACAUAUGGUACCUUAUGUUAAAAACUUGGAUUUGUAAUUGCAGUGUCUUCUGUGAUUGAUUAAAAAAAUAAUGGUGAGGUUAUUUUAUUCAUGCAUAAAAUCUCCACAAGUACUCAAACCUAUUGCAAGCUGUAUCAAAUGUGCAAAGCUUUUGCUUUCAGAGGUACAUACAAUGAUAAUAUUAAACAGAAAAGCCUCUGAAGCUUCAUCUUUCAAUGCAGAAUACUCAAAAGCAAUGCUUGUAAGGUUGAAAAUCCUGUAUCCUUCAUCCAAAGCCAGAAUUUAUUUCAGUCCUGUGAGCUGACCUGAAAAUGCUGAGUAUGACCUUGGUCUUCCUUAAGGUCCCAGUUCAGCAAAUCACUUUGCACUGAUACCAAAGAAAGCAUCUUAAUUUAAGCCUACGUUUAGAUGAACUAGGACCAUUUUGCAGUCUCUCAGCAAAAUGUCCUUAUUUUAAUUUUUUAUUUUGAGUGGUCAGAGUUGUCAGGAUUUCAGGCUAGUUUGUUCAGAAUUGCUGAUUAGAUUGCAGCUUUUGAGUCUUAUUUUGGAGACUGUGGCACUGACCACACAGUGGUAGUUUUGCACAGCCUAAGCUGAGUAUGGGUGAAGGAGUUAGUUACAGAAAUCACCAUUUUGCUUAUGAACGGAACAAGUUUGAUCUGAAGUUAUUGAGACCCGUUAAAUUCCUUUAGUAGGAAUAAUUUUGAGGAGGUGAAAAAUAUUAGUCAGGUGUUCAGAAUUUCCUAAUAAAUACUUGCAAAACUAGUCCACUGAGAUGGCUUGUUUUUGGAGCCCCGGCAUGAGUUUGGUUUAAUAGUUAGACUUUGGUUAUUGCA